rnacentral:rRNA from 1 species
UUCGGGUUGAAACCUCUUUCGUACCGACGAAGCGCGAGUGACGGUGGGACAGAAGAAGCCCGGCCGCUACGUGCCAGCAGCCGCGGUAAUCGUAGGGUGCGAGCGUUGCCGGAUUAUUGGGCGAAAGGGCUCGUAGGCGGUUUGUCGCGUCGGGAGUGAAAACCAGGUGCUUAACACCUGGCUUGCUUUCGAUGCGGGCAGACUAGAGGUAUUCAGGGGAGAACGGAAUUCCUGGUGUAGCGGUGAAAUGCGCAAAUAUCAGGAGAACACCGGUGGCGAAGGCGGUUCUCUGGGAAUGACCUGACGCUGAGGAGCGAAAGUGUGGGGAGCGAACGGGAUUAGAUACCCUGGUAGUCCACACCGUAAACGUUGGGCGCUAGGUGGUGGGG